GCGGCGGUGGUGUAAGACGUAGCACCGCUGCCCAGAAAGCGGAAGGUGCGGGUUCGAGUCCCGCCUGGCGCA
rnacentral:tRNA from 1 species